CACAGGAACCUCACUUUAUGUAAAUUGGGGGAGAUCUCCACCCUCACACUUGUUCACAGCGGUACUACAGAGCCGUUUAAGACUUCAGGCCCUGCUGUGAUGCUUCUUCCCUCCCAAGCCCGGCUCCAGUACCUGCCAGCGGAGCCGCCUUGGUGUCACUUCCUUUGCCCUCACUAAACCUCAGGUUCCUUAUUUAUGAAAUGAGCUUGGUGUCCUGUCUACUUCACAGGAUGCUGGUAAAGAUCAAACGGGGUGAUCCAGGUGUGCCCUGAAGUGCUGCACCAGCCAUUUAGCAGCCCUCACCGUGUGCCACCUGCACAUGGCCUGGAGUGGCAAAGCCCCUGAAGACACUGAAGCUGUUGACCUUUUCCUCUUCUUCAGGAACAUGGUCCGUCGAGUUAUUUUCCUUCACCAUCCACAAAUAAAAAAAGACGUUGUUAUUAGCUUCAAAAUAGCUCUUUCCCCAAUGGGAAAUUUCUGGUGACAGUCGCUACGGAAACACAGGCCCAUCGGGCAGGGCUCUGGGCCAGCAUCUGGAAGGCAGAGACGGGGUUUCGUUAUGUUGCCCAGACUGGUCUCAAACUCCUGGGCUCAAGUGAUCCAGCAGCCUCAGGCUCCCAAAGUGCUGGGAUUACAGAUGAAGAAUGUGAGGUUCGGCCACUUGGAGGGUCCUGCCCAAGGUCACACAGCCAGCAGAUCGGAUGAAAGAAGAGGGGUGAUUUCUCCAUGGUCACAUGUCUAGUUGGCGACAGAAGUGGGAUUCAAGCCCAGUUCUGUCUUAAUUCAUAGCUUAUUCCUGUUCGACUUCACCCUGCUGCCUCGAAGAUAAAGUCGAGAUCAGGAGAGCGGAAUGCUAGCUUCCCCAGAGGAACAUGUGGUCUCAUUUUCUGAUUAGGGAUAGUUCACAAAAUUCAUGAUCUGGUCACCAGAGGAUAAGAACCAACCAGGUUAAUGUAAAGAAAAUGCUCAGCUGCAGCUGUUUAAUGAGCAACUCAAAGCUUUGUAUAAGGUGACUGACCUCAUCAGCAAGCCGGGUAACCACCCUGAUGCUUUUAGCUCUUGAUUUUACAGGGACUCAGAGAGGUCGAGGUAACUAGCCCAAGGCCACACAGCUAGCUCCUAGAACAGCUAUGUGGAGAUCUGAUCUGUGUGCCUCCAAAGCCUGUUUUCCCCCAAGUCGUUUCAUGGAGGCAUUGAUAGGUCCUGGGGCCAAAUUGCAAAGCCAUCUAAUCGGCGUUCGGUCUCAUCCCACUCCCACAGGAAUUUGCUGUCGGAUCCUUGGUAGCAAAUUUCUUUCUUUUUUUCUAUUAGAUGCAGGUUGUACAUGCGCAGGUAUAUCUGGGAACAUUGUGUGAAGCUGAGGCUGAGGGUACAAAUAAUCCUAUCGCCCAGGUACUAAGUAUAGUGUACCCAACAGUUUUUCAGCCCUUGCUCCUCUCCCUUCCUCCCCACUCUAGUAGUCCCCAGUGCAUACUCUUCCCAUCUUUAUGUCCAUGAGUAGCCAAUGUUUAGCUCCCGCUUACAAGUGAGAACAUGUAGUAUUUGAUUUUCUGCUCCUAUGUUAAUUUGCUUGCAAUAAUGGCCUCCAGCUUCAUCCACGUUGUUGCAGAGGACAUAAUUUUGUUUUUUUUCUAUGGCUGCAUAGUAUUCCAUGGUGUAUGUGUGGUGUAUAUUCUUUUUUUUUUUUUUUUUUU